CCUGAUCGCCUUCAGCAGCCACCUGCUCCUGUGGAGAAAGGAAGGGAAUUCAUUGCCAGCUCCCUGUGUGGGAACCAACUGCCAGGGGCAAUGCAGGACCAAGCACUUGAAUUUGAGCAGGACAGACAUUGUAACCCCACUCCUGCCACUGGGUCUCUAGAGCUGCUCAGUCCCUUCCAUAGGCUGGGGCUCAAAUCCCAGCUCUGCCACUUUUUAACUGUGUGACCUCAGGCAAGUCACCUAAC
rnacentral:sRNA from 1 species